CGGUGGACCACUAAAUUCUAUUUUACUACUGUAUCUCUGAAUGCUUCAACUUAAUAAGUUAAAACUUUCAACAACGGAUCUCUUGGUUCUGGCAUCGAUGAAGAACGCAGCGAAAUGCGAUAAGUAAUGUGAAUUGCAGAAUUCAGUGAAUCAUCGAAUCUUUGAACGCACAUUGCGCCCAUUAGUAUUCUAGUGGGCAUGCCUAUUCGAGCGUCAUUUCAACCCUUAAGCCUAGUUGCUUAGUGUUGGGAAUCUGCCCUGUAUUUAUAGGGCAGUUCCUUAAAGUGAUCGGCGGAGUUAGGGCAUACUCUAAGCGUAGUAAUAUUCUUCUCGCUUCUGUAGUUGUCCUGGCGGCUUGCCGUUAAACCCCUAUAUUUCUAGUGGUUGACCUCGGAUUAGGUAGGAAUACCCGCUGAACUU
rnacentral:rRNA from 1 species